AGUGAACGCUGGCGGUAGGCCUAACACAUGCAAGUCGAACGGCAGCACAGUAAGAGCUUGCUCUUACGGGUGGCGAGUGGCGGACGGGUGAGGAAUACAUCGGAAUCUACUUUUUCGUGGGGGAUAACGUAGGGAAACUUACGCUAAUACCGCAUACGACGUACGGGUGAAAGCAGGGGAUCUUCGGGCCUUUCGCGAUUGAAUGAGCCGAUGUCGGAUUAGCUAGUUGGCGGGGUAAAGGCCCACCAAGGCGACGAUCCGUAGCUGGUCUGAGAGGAUGAUCAGCCACACUGGAACUGAGACACGGUCCAGACUCCUACGGGAGGCAGCAGUGGGGAAUAUUGGGCAAUGGGCGCAAGCCUGAUCCAGCCAUACCGCGUGAGUGAAGAAGGCCUUCGGGUUGUAAAGCCCUGUUGUUGGGAAAGAAAAGCAGCAGGUUAAUACCCCGCUGUUCUGACGGUACCCAAAGAAUAAGCACCGGCUAACUUCGUG
rnacentral:rRNA from 1 species